CACGGUCCUCAAUAAUGUCUAAUGCCUCUGAACAGCCCGGUGCUCAAACUUGGACGCGGACUGAAAAUAAUGUUGUUCCCCGCGGAUGCGAGGGUUCCGCUCAACGACACAGAGCCCCGGGAGCCGCGCUGGAGCCUGUAAAAGUGUCCGAUCUGGUCUAAAUAACUCCCCGGGCUUGUUUUUGGACUCUUGCUGGUAAUGGGCAGCUGCGGCUGAAGUGUUUUGAUCCAGUCAGUGACAGCCUGCAAACAGCAGGGAGAGCUGUGAGGAGACCACACUGCAGUAGAUUAUGAGCGCUCCCAAGAAGUGAAGGAAAUCUGGGAGCUGAUUCUGACAGGGGCGACGAUCAUUUCAACACAGUGUGUGGCGGACCUCAGCCGAAGGAGCCAUGGAGGCCUCACAGGACCUCAACGAACAGAUGGUGAAGAAAUCACACAGUGAAUCUCAUGUUCCAGACCCUUCAGACGUCAGGUCUAUGGAAAUGCAGGACCUAGCCAGUCCUCAUAACCGCGUGGGAGGUGGGGAUUCAACGGGCUCCAAGCUGGACAAGAACAACCUCGGCAGCCCCUCCAUCACCACCAAUGGAACAGGAGGUGAAAGCAUGACCGUUCUAAACACGGCUGAUUGGCUGCUGGGCUGCAGCAGCCCGCCCCCUGCCCCUGGCUCCAAGGACUAUGUGAAAACAGAGCCCAUGAACAACAGCGAUACAGUCACUACGACAGGCGACACAGCACUGGACACAUACGCAGGCUCAGUGAUCACGAGCAGCGGGUACAGCCCUCGUUCGGCCCAUCAGUACUCCCCUCCCCUCUACCCGUCGAAGCCUUAUCCUCACAUCCUCUCCACGCCGGCGGCGCCUCCCAUGCCGACGUACGCCGGCCAGCCUCAGUUCAGCAGCAUGCAGCAAUCAACCGUCUAUACUGCUUACUCCCAGACAGGGCAGGCCUACGGGCUGUCCACCUACGACCUCGGUCUGAUGCUUCCAGGCAUUAAAGCGGAGCCAGCCCAGAGUCAGUCUCCUCUGCAGACAGGCCUCAGCUACAGCCCUGGCUUCACCACGCCUCAGCCCGGACAGACUGCCUACUCACCCUACCAGAUGCCAGGUUCCAGUUUCACUCCUUCCUCAGGCCUCUACGCCACCAACAACUCAGUGUCCAACCCCGCCAACUACACUGCCACACAGCAGGAAUACCCCUCAUAUACAACGUUUGGCCAAAACCAGUACGCCCAGUAUUAUUCCACGUCCCCGUACGGGCCGUAUAUGACCUCCAACAAUGUGGACGGCACGGGCUCCACGGCGGCCUACCAACUGCAAGACCCCACCCCCGCCAUGACCGGGCAAGCUGCUGAACUUCACCCAGGGGACUUUGAUACAGUGCAGAGCCCGUCCACGCCCAUUAAAGAGCUGGACGACAGAGCCUGCCGGAGUGGGGGGUCCAAGUCUCGGGGCAGGGGCCGCAAAAACAACCCCUCCCCUCCGCCCGACAGCGACCUGGAGAGGGUGUUCGUGUGGGACCUGGAUGAGACAAUCAUCGUCUUCCAUUCUCUGCUCACGGGCUCCUACGCACAGAAAUAUGGCAAGGACCCUCCGAUGGCAGUAACACUGGGUCUGAGGAUGGAAGAAAUGAUCUUCAACUUGGCCGACACACAUUUAUUCUUUAAUGACCUGGAGGAAUGUGAUCAGGUACAUAUUGACGAUGUGUCAUCAGACGACAACGGCCAGGACUUAAGUACUUACAGUUUUGCAACUGAUGGCUUCCAUGCAGCUGCAACCAGCGCCAACCUGUGCCUGGCUACGGGCGUCCGCGGCGGCGUUGACUGGAUGAGGAAACUGGCCUUCCGCUACCGACGAGUCAAAGAGUUGUAUAGCACGUACAAAAACAAUGUGGGGGGUCUGCUGGGUCCUGCCAAGAGAGACGCCUGGCUGCAGCUCAGAGCAGAGGUGGAGGCUCUGACCGACUCCUGGCUCACCCACGCGCUCAAGUCCCUGUCCAUCAUCAGCUCCAGGAGUAACUGUGUAAAUGUGUUGGUGACCACAACGCAGCUCAUACCAGCGCUGGCUAAAGUUCUCUUAUAUAGUCUGGGGUCGGUUUUCCCUGUCGAGAACAUUUACAGUGCAACGAAAAUAGGCAAAGAGAGCUGUUUUGAGCGUAUAGUCUCCCGCUUUGGCACUAACAUUACAUAUGUUGUGAUUGGCGAUGGAAAGGAUGAAGAGCAUGCUGCCAGCCAGGAAAAGAGAGUUGCUUUGAGCGCAUAAUGCAAAGGUUUGGCAGGAAAGUAGUGUAUGUUGUAAUUGGGGACGGUGUGGAAGAGGAGCAGGCGGCCAAAAAGCACAACAUGCCUUUCUGGAGGAUAUCCAGUCACUCUGACCUGCUGGCAUUACACCAAGCACUGGAGUUUGAGUACCUGUAACCAUUAUAGCAAUAUGGACUCAUGCAAUGUUACCAUGGACACAGUCAUCCAGGCAACACCCUUCUUUUAUAUAACUAUUUAAGAACAAACUCAACACUGCAACUAUCUGUGAUUUUUUUUUUUUUUUGAAUGUCUGGAUUUACAAACUCUUAACGGUCUUAAGAAACAAAGAGGUGAAAAGGAAGUGAAGAAAAGGGACUGUGGGACUGGGAACUACACAGCACAGCCCUCAUCUUGAUGCUGGGGACGAAUCUGUGAAGAGUGAGUGUACCGUCUAUGCAGCUGUAGCAGACUGAAAUGGUCCUGAAGAGCCCCCUUGGCCUGGAAGCAUGUUUCUCUCCUUGAGGUCCGAUCACCCAGGUUACAAUAAGGACUUGUGGGUUACCUGGGAAUAAUCGUCCUCACCUUGUCAUUAAAUUUGAAGGCUUCUCUGUACAGACCGCAUAUAUUGGGAUAACGGCUGUUUUUGUUUUUUUAUUUUAAAAUGCGUUUUCUUCCUGGUGGUAUAAUCACAACACAACAAUGCUGUCUGUGGUAGAAAUUUGUGUAAAUUAUUUACAAUAAACUUUAAGGACAGUGGUGGCUGUUUUUUUUGUCAAGGAAAGGAAAUUGAAUUUUGGGGAUCUUGUCUUUAUUUCUCUGGAUUUUUCUAUUUUUUUUUUCUUCUUUCUGGGGGAGGUGAAGAUGUGCGUCAUGUGUUGUGCCUUUAAUGUGUUUGAAUGUCUUUUCUUUAUUCUGAAAUGUCUGUACGUAGAUAUAAAAAAGGAGACAACCCAUCCAAAA